rfam:Capsicum annuum cultivar Zunla-1 chromosome 1, whole genome shotgun sequence
GAAUGAAAGUGAUGAGCAUAAGGAAAAGUGAUGAUAUUUUUUUUUUUCAAAUGAACCAUAAAUUGUAUCCUUAUUCGUUAGGUUCUUUCUGAUUCAUUC